CGAGCAGCUCCUGGAUCGUUGGGAUUCCCUCGCUGCACCUCCCUCUCCAGCUCCGGUUCCAUGCCGCCUGGAUUCCGGCUCCAGGGUUUCAGCUUCACUCGCCAAUACUGCUCUGGCUUCAGCUCCGACUCCCCGUCUCCUGCCUCCCGCCGUCAGGACAGCCGCAGUCGCCCUAGGAAGAGCUUCUGACGCUGUCAACCUCGAAGCAGCCUCUACCAAGGCCACCAUCAAAGCGGUCUCUGACGCCGUCAACGCAGCCUUUGGAGCUUCCACCCUUGAAGCUAUCUCCGCCGCCCUCGAAGCUGCCUUUGCAGCAUUGGAAAGAUUUUCUGUCACACCCAAAGAAGCCUCUGGCGCUGCCUUGCUCGAUGCAGCUUCUGCUGCCAUCGAUGCAGCCUCUGCCACCCUCGAAGCAGCCUCUGAUGCUGCCGCCUCCGAGGUCGUCUCUGCUGCCCCAGAUGUAGCCUCCGUCGCUACCACUCCCAAAGCAGCCUCUGCCUCUCCCGAAGCAGCUUCUGAUGCUGCCACCCCCGAAGCAGCCUCUGACGCUGCCGCUCCCGACGUAGCCUCUGUCGCUACCACCCCAGAAGCUACCUCUGAUGCCCCCGAUGUAGCCUCUGUCGUUACCACCCCCGAAGCAGCCUCUGACGCUGCCGCCCCAGAAGCAGCCUCUGACGCUGCCGCCCCCGACGUAGCCUCUGUCGCUACCACCCCAGAAGCUGCCUCUGAUGCCCCCGACGUAGCCUCUGUCGCUACCACCCCAGAAGCAGCCUCUGACGCUGCCGCCCCCGACGUAGCCUCUGUCGUUACCACCCCCGAAGCAGCCUCUGACGCUGCCGCCCCAGAAGCAGCCUCUGACGCUACCACCCCCGACGUAGCCUCUGUCGCUACCACCCCAGAAGCAGCCUCUGAUGCCACUGACGUAGCCUCCGUCGCUACCGCUCCCGAAGCACCCACUGCUGCCCCCGACGCAGUCUCUGUUGCUAGCAACCCCGAAGCAGCCUCUGUCGCUGCUGUCCCUGAAGCAGCCUCUGAUGCCACUGACGUAGCCUCCGUCGCUACCGCUCCCGAAGCACCCACUGCUGCCCCCGACGUAGCCUCUGUUGCUAGCAACCCCGAAGCAGCCUCUGUCGCUGCUGUCCCUGAAGCAGUCUCUGAAGAAAUUGCUGAUGGUGACGCCACUGAGGUCUACGCCACAGCAGAACCAGCCGCCGCAGAUCAAGCCGCCGCUCUCCCUGCAGACCGAGCCGUCGCUCACCCUGCAGACCCGGCCGUCGCUGACCCUGCAGACCCGGCCGUCGCUGACCCUGCAGACCCAGCCGUCGCUGACCCAGCAGACCCAGCCGACGCUCACCCAGCUUGUGCGUACCCUACAGCCAGCGCUGCCGACCCGGACCCCGCAGCCACCGCUGCCGACCCGCACCCCGCAGCUGACCCGGACCCUGCUGCCACAGCUGCCAACCAAGAUCCUCCAGCAUCCGUUUCCGAUGCAGGCCCAGCAGCACCCUCUGCCGAGACCGGUCCAGCAGCACCUUCUGAUGGCGUCGCUGCUGAGGGCUCUGCUGUCCCAGGCGCCCCUGUCCUGAGCGUCCCAGGCGCCCCUGUCCCCAGCGUUCCAGGCGCCCCUGUCCCGAGCGUUCCAGGCGCCCCUGUCCCGAGCGUCCCAGGCUCCCCUGUCCCGAGCGUCCCAGGCGCCCCUGUCCCGAGCGUCCCAGGCUCCCCUGUCCCGAGCGUCCCAGGCUCCCCUGUCCCGAGCGUCCCAGGCUCCCCUGUCCCGAGCGUCCCAGGCGCCCCGGUCCCGAGCGUCCCAGGCGCCCCGGUCCCGAGCGUCCCAGGCGCCCCGGUCCCGAGCGUCCCAGGCUCCCCUGUCCCGAGCGCCUCAGGCGUCCCGGUCCCGAGCGUCUCCGGCGUCCCUGUCCAAGGUGUCCUUGCGCCGGUUCCAGGCGUCCAUGCGCCGGCCCCAGGCGCUCCGGACCCUGUCUCCAGUGUUCCUGGGUUCCCUGUCCCAGCUGCAGCAGACCCAGGGUUCGGUGCCGCCAGCCCUAAUGAACCAGCGAGUCCAGGUGCCACGUCUACCCCAGCCACUGGCCCUGCAACCCCAAACACCAAUCGAUAUCGCUGGCAUCUAUUUGUUGUGAGGGUUAUUGUUGUGUUUAUUGUUGGUCUGUUUGGCCGGUCGCCAAAGACUCUGCCC
ensembl:lncRNA